rnacentral:rRNA from 1 species
GACGGAGGAUGCAAGUGUUAUCCGGAAUCACUGGGCGUAAAGCGUCUGUAGGUGGUCAAAUAAGUCAACUGUUAAAUCUUGAGGCUCAACCUCAAAAUCGCAGUCGAAACUAUUAGACUAGAGUAUAGUAGGGGUAAAGGGAAUUUCCAGUGGAGCGGUGAAAUGCGUAGAUAUUGGAAAGAACACCGACGGCGAAGGCACUUUACUGGGCUAUUACUGACACUCAUGGACGAAAGCUAGGGGAGCGAAAGGG